rnacentral:snoRNA from 1 species
ACGACCUUACUUGAACAGGAUCUGUUCUAUAGGCUCGUACCGUUGCAUCCUUUACCAAUAAGGAGGCAAGCACUCAAGUCUGGUUGAUGCGACAUGGCCUCUGGGCCAGAGCGUGAUUAACGGGUCAGGAUGACUCAGAUGCGGUCUCAUCCGACGGGCUGUAGAGGAUCGUUCCUGCCUGGUUCCAGUGCAGGGUGGCCCAGAGGUUGUCUGACAGACA